rnacentral:rRNA from 1 species
CAGCAGCCACGGGAAUACGAAGGGGGCUAGCGUUGCUCGGAAUGACUGGGCGUAAAGGGCGCGUAGGCGGCUUGUACAGCCAGAUGUGAAAUUCCUGGGCUUAACCUGGGGGCUGCAUUUGAUACGUGCGGGCUAGAAUGUGAAAGAGGGUCGUGGAAUUCCCAGUGUAGAGGUGAAAUUCGUAGAUAUUGGGAAGAACACUGGUGGCGAAGGCGGCGACCUGGUUCAUGAUUGACGCUGAGGCGCGAAAGCGUGGGGAGCAAACAGGAUUAGAUACCCCAGUAGUCCCUGUCUCUUAUAU